AGCUGGACAAACUUAUUUUUCGACAUAUUGUCUUCUUUUACAGCCAUACUCUGCAUUUUUUGAUUGCGUCAUUUCUUUAGACAAUGUUGAGCAGUGUGCUUUGGUUCUCCACAAUAUAAACAUAAUCCUUUUUGACGACGACGAGUCUUUUCUUGCUCAGUAAGAGGUUUGAAACGUACUACAUCAAUUUGCAUAUCCUCUACUUCCGAAUGUUUGUGUUGAAGAGGUGUUGGUGUUGCCAUUGAAUUAUAGUAACGUUGAGGU
rnacentral:lncRNA from 1 species